GACGAACGCUGGCGGCGUGCCUAAUACAUGCAAGUCGAGCGAAGUUUUUCUGGUGCUUGCACUAGAAAAACUUAGCGGCGAACGGGUGAGUAACACGUAAAGAACCUGCCUCAUAGACUGGGCCACUAUUUGAAAAGAUAAGCAAUACCCGGAUAAAGGAAUUUUUGGAUGAAGGAAAUUUAAAAGUUUGGUAAGCCAAAACUAAUAGAUUGCUUUGCGGUGCAUUAGCUAGUUGGCGGGGUAAAGGCCCACCAAGGCGACGAUGCAUAGCCGACCUGAGAGGGUGAUCGGCCACACUGGGACUGAGACACGGCCCAGACUCCUACGGGAGGCAGCAGUAGGGAAUCUUCCGCAAUGGGCGAAAGCCUGACGGAGCAACGCCGCGUGAGUGAAGAAGGAUUUCGGUUCGUAAAGCUCUGUUGUUAGGGAAGAAUGGAUAUGUAGUAACUAUACAUGUAAGAGACGGUACCUAACCAGAAAGCCACGGCUAACUACGUG
rnacentral:rRNA from 1 species